GACGAACGCUGGCGGCGUGCCUAAUACAUGCAAGUCGAGCGGACCGAACGAGGGCUUGCUCUUGUUUGGUCAGCGGCGGACGGGUGAGUAACACGUGGGCAACCUGCCCGCAAGACCGGGAUAACUCCGGGAAACCGGAGCUAAUACCGGAUAACACCGAAGACCGCAUGGUCUUCGGUUGAAAGGCGGCCUUUGGGCUGUCACUUGCGGAUGGGCCCGCGGCGCAUUAGCUAGUUGGUGAGGUAACGGCUCACCAAGGCGACGAUGCGUAGCCGGCCUGAGAGGGUGACCGGCCACACUGGGACUGAGACACGGCCCAGACUCCUACGGGAGGCAGCAGUAGGGAAUCUUCCGCAAUGGGCGAAAGCCUGACGGAGCGACGCCGCGUGAGCGAAGAAGGCCUUCGGGUCGUAAAGCUCUGUUGUGAGGGACGAAGGAGCGCCGUUCGAAGAGGGCGGCGCGGUGACGGUACCUCACGAGAAAGCCCCGGCUAACUACGUGCCAGCCGCCGCGGUAA
rnacentral:rRNA from 1 species